rnacentral:misc_RNA from 1 species
UAGAGAAACACAUCGGGAGUGAUUCGGCGGAGUGAAACUGAUCCCUCUAUGAUAAACUGGCUGUAGGAUUGUGCACCGGACAUGCCGAGGGAAGAUCGUCACCACACUGGACAGACGCUAUUGUGGAUGCUUGUGACAGUGUCAGAGUCUUGCAACGUUUCGAGAAAUCAAGGGAAGAGUUGUAACACUACCAAGGUAAAACCCACACCAUUGCUCUGGCGGGUGGGUAGCGUCCGUUCCUUUGAUACAGUUCUGUGGAAGCCCACAGCUGACCAAACAUGUGGAUCAACCCUAUUGCCAUAGCAGCCUUUGUCCUGACCGUGGUGGCCACUCUGCUGGUGGACCUCGCCAUGUUUCUGCCCUACUGGUGGCGCGUCACGAGUGACCGAGGAACGUACAUCAACUACGGCCUGUGGACAAAGUCCCAGUGUGACGAGGAUGGGAGUUGCGUACUGUCAGUCACGUACCAGAUUGAGGGCGGGAAAGAGUUUCUUUUCAUCAGCAAAAUAUUCAUGACAUUUGCCGUGGUGCUGACGCAGGUCGCCUUAAUCCUCCACAUAAUCUAUGUUCCCAUUCGGAAGGUGGUGGUCAGAUCAAUCGCAAUCUACUGUCUGGGAGCUGCAGGUCUGUUUGUCCUCCUUGCCUUCACCAUCUUCCUGGGCAAGCAUCAGCUGCUUGUGGAGAGAAGCAAGGAAUUCGUGGUGGGUUGGUCAAUCUGUCCGGCGGUCCUGGGGUGUGUGGUCUCCCUUGUGGCUUCAGGUCUCACAGCACUGGCGUCCAUCAAGAAGGCCAAACGUCACGAGGACGAGGAGAGAUUAGCCGGAGUUGUUUAGUGGUCCAGUGGACAAGUCGUUACUUCGUCGUUACUUCAUUGUUACUUCGUCGUUACUUCAUCGUUACUUCGUUGUUACUUCAUCAUUACUUCUUCAUUACUACGUCAUUACUUCGUUGUUACUUCGUCGUUACUUCGUCGUUACUUCGUAGUUAAUUCGUCGUUAAUGCGUCAUUACUUCUUCGUUACUUCAUCAUAACUUCGUCGUUACUACGUCAUUACUUCGUCGUUACUUCAACGUUAAUUCGUCGUUACUUCAUCGUUAAUUCGUCGUUACUUCGUCAUUACUUCUUCGUUAAUACGUCAUUACUUUGUCGUUACUUCGUUGUUACUUCAUCAUUACUUCUUCGUUACUACGUCAUUACUUCGUUGUUACUUCGUCGCUACUUCGUUGUUACUUCGUUGUUACUUCGUCAUUACUUCUUCGUUACUACGUCAUUACUUCGUCGUUACUUCCUUUACUGGACCAGUGGACAAGUCGUUACUUCGUCGUUUAUGACAAUAUGUUUGGGUGAACAGCGGACAGUUCGCUACUUCGUUUACUGGACCAGUGGACAAGUCGUUAUCUCGUCGUUUAUGACAAUAUGUUUGGGUGAACAGCGGACAGGUCGCUACUUCGUUGUUUAUGACAAUAUGUUUAGUGGAACAGUGGACAGGUCGCUACUUCGUUGUUUAUGACAAUAUGUUUAGUGGGACAGUGGACAAUUCGUUACUUCGUUGUUUAUGACAAUAUGUUUAGUGGAACAGUGGACAAUUCGUUACUUCGUUGUUUAUGACAAUAUGUUUAGUGGAACAGUGGACAGGUCGUUACUUCGUUGUUUAUGACAAUAUGUUUAGUGGAACAGUUGACAGGUCGUUACUUCGUUGUUUAUGACAAUAUGUUUAGUGGAACAGUUGACAGGUCGUUACUUCGUUGUUUAUGACAAUAUGUUUAGCCAACAGUGGACAGGUCGCUACUUCCUGGUUUGUGGCAAUAUGUGUAAUGAACCAGUGGAUAGAUCGUUACUUCGGUGUUUAUGGUGAUACCCAGUGUAAAUAUGUAUGUCUCAUGAACAACUCACAGGCAAUCAAAAGUCAAUGUUUCAAUAAGCUCGCCUGGAGACCACUUUGGUCUAAUCUUGUGUUAUAUAACUGAUGUAUAAUAUUCAUCAUGCCUUUGAUUGUGUGUCUUACAUACCCCUAAUGUUCUCUAAUCAUAUACCAGUAAUGUCCAGUAAGUACAUAUGUUCUAAUGACCUUGUUAAGUAUAAACCCUACUGUCCUAUCAAGUAUAUAUCCCUCAUUACCCUGUCACGUACAUACCCCUAGUGUAUCAAUGUUUAACACUGGACAAAUGACGUCUAAAGCUGCAUCUCAAUAUGACACUUGAGUUAUUCCUUUCAAUGAAGUUCAAAUGGUGUAUCGUCAAAUUAACAUUUUCUGGAAA